rnacentral:lncRNA from 1 species
AAGUCUUUUGCCAUCUUAAAUGAAAUAUUUUGGUCAUUUUCUUCCUUGUGUGCUAUUUUGUGACAAAAACAUAGAAAAAGUCUAUCUAGGAAAAUUGCCCUAAAAUAAAAUUCGUUUUUAAUUAUAUAUAAAUUAACUAACUGUAUUUUUAAACUAAUAAAUUAAUGAGCCAGUUAAAAACUAAUAAUAAAUUAAUGGCUUAGCUAAAACCUAAUAACACUUGAAAAAUAAACAAAAUUACCUAAAAUCAUAGAGAACAUGAUAAAUAAGAAAAUUAACUAAAUAUUUAAUAUAACAUAUAAAUUUUAUAUUAUUAAAAUAAAAUUCGUUUUUAAUUAUGUAUAAAUUCACUAAGUGUAUUUUUAAACUAAUAAAUUAGUGACUCAGUUAAAAACUAAUAAUAAAUUAAUGGCUUAGCUAAAACCUAAUAACACAUGAAAAAUAAACAAAAUUACCUAAAACUUGGAGAACAUGAUAAAUAAU